GGAGGCUGCCCUGAGCAGAAGUGUGCUCUAGGAUACAAAGUACGCAAUGGCGGGGUCAUAUGUCAAGAGUGUGAAGGGGGUACCUUUGGCUUGGAUUGUCUUCAGCAAUGUCAUUGUGCUCCAGAGGCUUGCGAGACGGAGAGGGGUCUUUGCCAGGGACAAUGCCUUGAUAGCUGGAUUGAACCAAACUGCCUUCAAGGAAUAUCCAAAUUAGUUCCAGUGAGAGUGAACCCAUACCAACCAUCUAUCUUCACAUGUUAUGUUGAGGGUAUUCCACUUCUCGAUGCAUCCUCAGUUAAUUUUUAUCGACGCACUGGAAACACCAAUGACAGGACAGGAAUCACCAGGGGAUCUAGCACUGUCUCAGGGUCAGAACGAGCUGUUGUCUUUGAUGUUGAUAGUGUGUAUCCACAGGAAGAUGGGGGAUAUGUUUGCAUUCUUACUGUUGAAGAGGUAGACUAUCCCAGUACGCUCAUUACCGACGCAA